rnacentral:snRNA from 1 species
GGAUGUGAAGGCAAUCUGGCUGCAACAUCUGUCACCCCAUUGAUCACCAGGAUUGAUCCGGCUAAUCUGGCUGGUUAUACAGGUGUCCCCUUCCUCCCUUACUGUCCCAUGUGUGUCUCUGCCUCAAGUUGUGUGCUUGGUCGAAGGGAAUAACCUUCCCCAAAUAGAGAGAGAUCAGUCUUUGGUGGUGGUGGGGGGGUAUCUGAGCAGCUGCACUACCCUGCUAGAACCUCCAAACAAGUUCUCAAGAUCCAUAAAAGGACUCUUAAAACUCAGUAAUAGUAACUGAAAGAAAAGGGUCAGGCAGUGGUCUGGGAGGUGGUGCAGUGAUAAAGUUUUGGACUUGCAGGCAAGAGGUCCCAAGUUU